rnacentral:rRNA from 1 species
CCUUGCGCGAUUGAAUGAGCCGAUGUCGGAUUAGCUAGUUGGCGGGGUAAAGGCCCACCAAGGCGACGAUCCGUAGCUGGUCUGAGAGGAUGAUCAGCCACACUGGAACUGAGACACGGUCCAGACUCCUACGGGAGGCAGCAGUGGGGAAUAUUGGACAAUGGGCGCAAGCCUGAUCCAGCCAUACCGCGUGGGUGAAGAAGGCCUUCGGGUUGUAAAGCCCUUUUGUUGGGAAAGAAAUCCAGCCGGCUAAUACCCGGUUGGGAUGACGGUACCCAAAGAAUAAGCACCGGCUAACUUCGUGCCAGCAGCCGCGGUAAUACGAAGGGUGCAAGCGUUACUCGGAAUUACUGGGCGUAAAGCGUGCGUAGGUGGUCGUUUAAGUCCGUUGUGAAAGCCCUGGGCUCAACCUGGGAACUGCAGUGGAUACUGGGCGACUAGAGUGUGGUAGAGGGUAGCGGAAUUCCUGGUGUAGCAGUGAAAUGCGUAGAGAUCAGGAGGAACAUCCAUGGCGAAGGCAGCUACCUGGACCAACA